AGUGAACGCUGGCGGUAGGCCUAACACAUGCAAGUCGAACGGCAGCACAGUAAGAGCUUGCUCUUACGGGUGGCGAGUGGCGGACGGGUGAGGAAUACAUCGGAAUCUACUUUUUCGUGGGGGAUAACGUAGGGAAACUUACGCUAAUACCGCAUACGACCUACGGUUGAAAGCAGGGGAUCUUCGGACCUUGCGCGGUUGAAUGAGCCGAUGUCGGAUUAGCUGGUUGGCGGGUGAAAGGCCCACCAAGGCGACGAUCCGUAGCUGGUCUGAGAGGAUGAUCAGCCACCCUGGAACUGAGACACGGUCCAGACUCCUACGGGAGGCAGCAGUGGGGAAUAUUGGACAAUGGGCGCAAGCCUGAUCCAGCCAUACCGCGUGGGUGAAGGAGGCCUUCGGGUUGUAAAGCCCUUUUGUUGGGAAAGAAAAGCAGCAGGUUAAUACCCCGCUGUUCUGACGGUACCCAAAGAAUAAGCACCGGCUAACUUCGUG
rnacentral:rRNA from 1 species